rnacentral:rRNA from 1 species
GGCUUGGUCGGGCGGUCCGCCUCACGGUGUGUACUGUCUGACUGAGUCUUACCUCUUGGUGAGCCGGCGUGCGCUUUAUUGUGUGCGUCGGGGAACCAGGACUUUUACCUUGAGAAAAUUAGAGUGUUCAAAGCAGGCCUAUGCCUGAAUACAUUAGCAUGGAAUAAUAGAAUAGGACUUUAGUCUCCUUUGUUGGUUUGAGGGACUGAAGUA